UCUGGUUGAUCCUGCCAGUAGUGAUAUGCUUGUUUCAAAGAUUAAGCCAUGCAUGUCUAAGUAUAAGCGAACUUAUACAGUGAAACUGCGGAUGGCUCAUUAUAACAGUUUGAAUUUAUUUGAUGAAUGUAUGAGAAUACUACUUGGAUAACCGUAGUAAUUCUAGAGCUAAUACAUGCAACGACGCCCGACCGUUUCACUACGGAAGGGCUGUAUUUAUUGGAUACCAAAACCAUCCUUCCCUCGGGAAGUUUUGUUUGAUGAUUCACAAUAACUGAUCGGAUCGCCACUGUGGUGGCGACAGGUCAUUCAACAUUCUGCCCUAUCAGCUUUCGAUGGUUGUGUAGUGGACAACCAUGGCCAUAACGGGUAACGGAGAAUCAGGGUUCGAUUCCGGAGAAGGAGCUUGAGAAUUGGCUACUACAUCUAAGGAAGGCAGCAGGCGCGCAAAUUACCCAAUCCCGAUUCGGGGAGGUAGUGACAAAAAAUAACAAUACCGGGCCUUUUUGGGCUUGGUAAUUGGAAUGAGGGAGAGUUAAACGGACCAUCGAGUAUCCAUUGGAGGGCAAGUCUGGUGCCAGCAGCUGCGGUAAUACCAGCUCCAAUAGCGUAUAUUAAAGUUGUUGCAGUUAAAAAGCUCGUAGUUGGACUUGUGUGCGCUGUCCGCGGGUGGCCUGCGCCCAAAAGGGCGUUUCGGUUCGGCCCCGGUGGCGCCUUGAAAUCUGCAGCUGGGGGGACGUUGGCCUUAACUGGUCGGCGACCGCACGCCGGCUGCUCGGUUACUGUGAGAAAAUUAGAGUGUUCAAGGCAGGCAUUGGGUGCAAUUGAAUACAUUAGCAUGGAAUAAUAAAAUAUGGCUCCUGCCGUAUUUUGUUGGUUUUGACUGGUGGGAGUAAUGAUUGAUAGGGACGGUUGGGGGUGCUAGUAUUGAGCGGCCAGAGGUGAAAUUCAUGGAUUCGCUCAAGACUAACUUAUUCGAAAGCAUUCACCAAGGACGUCCUCUUUAAUCAAGAACGAAAGUUGGGGGAUCGAAGACGAUCAGAUACCGUCGUAGUCUCAACCAUAAACUAUGUCGACUUGGGAUCGGCGGUAGUUUUUUCAUUAAGACACUGUCGGGACCACGGGAGAAAUCAAAGUGUCUGGACUCUGGGGGAAGUAUGGUCGCAAGGCUGAAACUUGAAGGAAUUGACGGAAGGGCACCACCAGGUGUGGAGCCUGCGGCUUAAUUUGACACAACACGGGGAAACUUACCAGGUCCAGAGAUGUAGAGGAUUGACAGAUC
rnacentral:rRNA from 1 species